rnacentral:rRNA from 1 species
AUUGCACGCUGGCGGCAGGCCUAACACAUGCAAGUCGAACGAGUGGCGGACGUGUGAGUAAUGUCUGGGAAACUGCCUGAUGGAGGGGGAUAACUACUGGAAACGGUAGCUAAUACCGCAUACCAUCAGAUGUGCCCAGAUGGGGUUAGAUUGGUGGUGGGGUAACGGCGCACCAAGGCGACGAUCCCUAUCUGGUCUGAGAGGAUGACCAGCCACCCUGGAACUUAGACACGGUCCAGACGCCUACGGGAGGGAGCAGUGGGGAAUAUUGAACCAUGGGCGCAAGCCUGAUGCAGCCAUGCCGCGUGUAUGAAGAAGGCCUUCGGGUUGUAAAGUACUUUCAGCGGGGAGGCGUUACCCGCAGAAGAAGCACCGGCUAACUCCGUGCCAGCAGCCGCGGUAAUAC